rnacentral:rRNA from 1 species
ACGAACGCUGGCGGCGUGCUUCACACAUGCAAGUCGAACGGAAAGGCCCUGCUUUUGUGGGGUGCUCGAGUGGCGAACGGGUGAGUAACACGUGAGUAACCUGCCCUUGACUUUGGGAUAACUUCAGGAAACUGGGGCUAAUACCGGAUCGGAGCUCCUGCUGCAUGGUGGGGGUUGGAAAGUUUCGGCGGUUGGGGAUGGACUCGCGGCUUAUCAGCUUGUUGGUGGGGUAGUGGCUUACCAAGGCUUUGACGGGUAGCCGGCCUGAGAGGGUGACCGGCCACAUUGGGACUGAGAUACGGCCCAGACUCCUACGGGAGGCAGCAGUGGGGAAUAUUGCACAAUGGGCGGAAGCCUGAUGCAGCAACGCCGCGUGCGGGAUGACGGCCUUCGGGUUGUAAACCGCUUUCGCCUGUGACGAAGCGUGAGUGACGGUAAUGGGUAAAGAAGCACCGGCUAACUACGUG